rnacentral:rRNA from 1 species
CAGCCGCCGCGGUAAUACAUAGGGUGCGAGCGUUAAUCGGAUUUACUGGGCGUAAAGCGUGCGUAGGCGGCUUUUUAAGUCGGAUGUGAAAUCCCUGAGCUUAACUUAGGAAUUGCAUUCGAUACUGGGAAGCUAGAGUAUGGGAGAGGAUGGUAGAAUUCCAGGUGUAGCGGUGAAAUGCGUAGAGAUCUGGAGGAAUACCGAUGGCGAAGGCAGCCAUCUGGCCUAAUACUGACGCUGAGGUACGAAAGCAUGGGGAGCAAACAGGAUUAGAGACCCCCGUAGUCCCUGUCUCUUAUAC